rnacentral:lncRNA from 1 species
CCCUUCUGUGAAGAAUGGAAUAUUCCGACUCCUUAAAGGCCCAGGCCGGGAAAGGGACGAUCUUUUCCGUACGGUGAAAAUGGAGGUGAGUGGGGUGUGUGACUGGGCAUAGUAGCUGGCGGCGAGGGCGAAGGAGCGAAUGGUUUCUUAAUUUCUGAGAAGGUGUUUUCGGGAAGCUUUGUGAAGGCCGCAGGGCGGCUCCCUGUGGCGCGUCUCCGGGUUUUGGGGCGGGCGCGGCGGUUGGGGAGAGUCAGGCAGGGCUGCCGGGGACUGAGGCUCAAGGCCCGCGCGCGUGUCUCCAGCAGGGCCGCUGCCGCCGUCGACUCGGGAGCCCGAGGUCCCCGAAGGCCGCUUCCCUGCUCCCCGGACGCGGCGUGGGAGGUGCGCCAACCCGGGAGGACUGGGUGGCACAUCCCUUGCAGCGCCUUCAGGCCAGGAGCGGUCUCCCACCCAGAGAUUGCACAUGAGUGCUGCGGGGUCCCCUGUGUGUGAUCAGAUCGAGACCAGCUGCUGAGUAGUCGAGGGAGGAGCACCGGCCUGCCGUUAAGGUUAAGGUAAGCUUCGGUCUGUGGAACAGUUUGCAUGGCCAGCAGUUAGAUAAUGUGACCUUCCAAUUAGGUCAGGUAGUGGCACUUCUUUCUGGCUCACCUAAUAACCUUGUAUUACUGUAGCCCUUGACCUUAAUUGAGCAUAUCCUGGAGAUACAGAUACGGUUCAUGGUGACAGUGGGACAGAGGAAACCUGGGAGUUCUGUUAGCUCACUGCUCUAAAAUCUGUCCCAGUUGCCUGUCUGCUGAGAUGUAGCUUUCCUUGUCCUUGGAGAUGACCGCUUAGGUGUGUGGGGUUAAAAUGAUGGGAUGAAAUGAGGUUGCAACACCUAGCAAAGCCAGUUAGGACUUACAGAUUUCACAUGGCUUCAUAUACCAAAAAACACCUCCAGUAGGUUCUUAAGGGCUGCUGUUAGGAUGGGCUGGAAUUUGUAGUUGAGGCUCUCAUGAGCAAAAGUCUUUUCUCUGCCUUUGUUACCUGCUGCCUGUCUAGGGAUGCCUCGCUUCAUUCCCCUCUGGGUUUUAUGUGCUAAAGAAUGGUGAUCGGUGGUGUGGAGUUUGAAAGAUCGUGGUGGCUGCAGCUCAGCCCAAGGGAGAGGUAAGCUUCCAUGGACAAGGACCCCCCCCACCCCCCGUGGUAGAAUGAAUAAAUGGCUAGUGUUGUUAAAAUAGAUUCUCA